rnacentral:misc_RNA from 1 species
AAGUCGUAACAAGGUUUCCGUAGGUGAACCUGCGGAAGGAUCAUUAACACUCCAAAACAAACUCAUUACUCUUGGCAACAAGGGUAUAUGAAACCCUAUUCACAAGCGAACCCGAAGGGAAACACGUGAGAAGGCGAGACUUUCCGGUUUCAAUCUCUCACUGUUUUUCUCCUUCAACAUUUUCUUUUGUCCCUUUUUUUUCUUUUAAGCCCCACACAUUUUACUUUUAGACUGACUGAGACGCAAGUCUCGUUGUACUUCGAAAGAAGCGCAAUGAAAAUCGAUAAGAUUAACAAAAAAACAACUCUUAGCAACGGAUAUCUUGGUUCUC